rnacentral:lncRNA from 1 species
UAACUGUUAGCUGCAGCUUAUUACUUUCAUAGUGACUACCCACAUGAAGAUUAGGUGCAAUUGCACAACUGAUCGAUCCCUCAUCUUCCUUCUCUCUCUGGAUCACCUGCUCCGCUCCUACCAAGUUGCUAACUUGGCAAGGUAUGUUAUGUUGAGAAGAGAAGAUCCUCGCUUACUGGACAGGCAAAGGGAAAGUUAGUGAAUGUUAUCCUUAAACCAGGGGUGCUUCUUAGCCAAAAUCAGGGGUGCUUAAAAGGCAAAGGAACCUUAAAACUGUCUGUUCGAGCCAAAACCAGGGGUGCUUCUUCGGCAGGCAUAUAAUACUGCACAUCAAGUUCAUUGUAGAGGAUCGAUCAUUGGGCACUACACUACAUAUUUCAAGUCUUGUAACGAGAGAGAUUCUACGCCAAGUUGCUCACAAUACUCGAUGUAAUAUUGAACCCUUGAAUUGGUAACGGUAAUGCUUGCAACCAUCGAUAUUCAAAUGAGGUAACGGUAAUGCUUGCAACCAUCGAUGACUUGAAGACUGAACUGCGAGGCCUAGGAGUGACUGCCAUUGUUACACCACUAGGAGGUUGGCAUAUGGGCACAAGAUCUUGAUGAUAUUGUAAGAGGAAGACAUCUUGGUAAUACAGGAAGAAGACAGACGUGUUGGCUUGUUAUGGUAAAUACAGGCGCGACAAGUAUAUAUAUAUAUGUCUAAAUUAUGAUGAUGAAAAAGGUGAAAUAAAAAUUGGCUUUGGAGAGGCACGACAUACCACAUGACUGACAUUCACCUCACCCAAAUUCAGACCAUAUGAGCUCUCUAUCUUGUUAUGGUCGAAAAAUGCUAAACAGAUGGGUAUUUUUGAUAACUUUGGUAACAGCCAUGCCUACAUUUGGCCUUUUCAGUAUAAGUAGGGACGAACUACUUAACUAAUAGAUGAGAGUGGAGGGAUAUUUUUGACUAAAACUGAUAGCGAAUAAUUCGAUUAAAAAGAAAACCCACCUGACUAUGGUUAAAAGAAGAAAAC